CAACUUUCUUCGAGAAUAUGCAACAGUAUUAAAAAGGAAAGGUCAGAGAGUAACACCCUUCAGCCAAAACCAACAAGUGACUAAAUUAAGACAUUAAUCAGGCUCGACUCCUCCCAGACCCACUAGUCGCUGAGUCUCUGAGUCGCUGUUCGUUCACUGACUGUGGUGAAGAGGGACCGACUGAGAGAUGUCACGGCUCACGGGAGCCGGCCAGCUGUAUGUUGCUCUAGGACUGAGUCUAGGACACUCUUGUCAAAUUUUUGCCAAUGAGAGACAGGAAUACAGCGCUUUCUUGGAAAACAAAACAAAUGGGCUUAUGCUGCAUUUUAUUAUCCAUCCGUCUCGGAGGUCCGAGGACGUUGCCUAGCGACACGCACGAACACGCCCCUCAGUGGUGACCUAGCAAAAUUCCGAGACAGAAUUCAAGAUGGCUGCGCCCAGUGUGACUUGAAGCAUGAACUGUUUUCAUUGUGCUUGG